GCCAGUGUGGCUUAGUGGUUUCAGCAUUGGAUUAUGACUCUGGAGACCAGGAUUUGAAUCCUUGCUUGGACA
rnacentral:tRNA from 1 species